GCGUGAUUCAUUACGCCAAUGGCGGCGAGCUUUACACCACUCCAGCCGACGCUUGGCAUUGCGCAUUGUGAUCUUAGGCUUGUAUGCGGCUGCUCGCCCAUGAAACCCAUUUCAUGAAGCUCCCGACGAAACAGUUUUUGUGCUGACAUUGAUUCCAGAGGCAGUUUGGAACUCGGUAGUUAUUGUUACAACCAAGGACAGACAAUUUUUACGCUCUACAUGCUUCAGCACUCAAGGGUCCCGUUCCUUGAGCUUGUAUGGCCUACCACUUCGCAGCUGAGCCAUUGUUGCUCCUAGACGAUUCCACUUCACAAUAACAGCGCUUACAGUUGACGGGGGCAGCUCUAGCAUGGCAGAAAUUUGACGAACUAACCUGUUGGAAAGGUGGUAUCUUGUGACGGUGCCACAAUGAAAGUCACUGAGCUCUUCAGUAAGGCCAUUCUACUGCCAAUGUUUGUUUAUGGAGAUUGCAUGGCUGUGUCCUUAGACACCCGUCACCAACGUGUGUGCCUGAAAUAGCUGAAUCCACUAAUUUCAAGGUGUGUCCGCAUACUUUUUUAUAUAUAGUGCAUGUUGUUAAGCAGGUUUGUAGCUGGGAAUCCACUAAACAAACAUUCCUCUUUUCCUCCUGAUACAGAUUAUAUGAUCAGGUUGUAUUUGCUAAAUUAUUUUGGAACAAUGCUUUGAAACAAAGUCCAGUAUUCGAAUACAUUUUUUGAUUUACUAUCCACUGUCUGUUAUGGAUUAAAAACCCGGUCAAUAACCUCAAAGAUCCAUUAAACCAUCAAAACAGACAGUCCAUUGUGUUCAUUUCAUAGCGGUACUUCUGGACCGAGCCUCGCGAGAGUUUGGUGUCAGAAACUUUUGAAGACUGGGAUUACUUCAUUACCUUUACUAACCACAAGAGGGCAAUAUGUUCUUUAUUUUUUAUUUUUUAUGUACCACACUUAUUUAUUGAAGUCCUGUAUAUAGGCUGGGCAGAGUUGAUUGAACCGAUGUUAAUGAUUGGGUAUGACUUUAGAUUUUAGGAUGAAUAUAGAUGGUCAGUAAUAGGUAUUGAUUGUGCAGUUAUAGUUUACUGGACUGUUCUCCUUAUAUCUGGUUGAAGCACAUGAGCAAUCAGAGCAGGGAUGUAACUAUACCUGCCCCAGUACCCGUGCGUUAGAGAUGACGACGAUACCUCUAACGCACAGAUACUAGUGUACCUGCGAUCUUAUUCAAAAACUCUCAUGAUCUUAUAGGACGAUAGUUCCAGCUCAACUGCGACAUUAUGGUAUGUAAUUUAGUGUAUCACCUUUUAUGUUGUUUUGCAUCGCACUCAACAUUUGCGGCAAAAGCCCAAAACAUGGGCCUUACAACCCCCAGAACUUCCAUUAAGAUUCAGUACUUUCAAUGAGUAGGCCUGAAUCAGGGGUGCGUUUACCAGUGCGUAAAAUACUCAUAACAUUGUUACGUCAUAAUUGAUGAGGUUUAAAACUGUACAGAAAAACUGGUUGGCUCAUUCUUAUCUUCGUUGUUGACUGGACGACCUAGUGUUAAUCAUUAGAUGCGCAUUCACUUAUUUUACAAGGAAAAGACACGGAGAGUAAAGUGUCUGAGGUAUGUUACUUUAUAUUCAAUACUGUAGUUAUUGUAAAUGAGAAGAAGCAUUGUACAGAUUUUACAGCAGAAUAACAUCCAAUUGUAUUAAUUUAUGUGGGUUAAAAUGUAGCCUAUAGGCUGUCAUUGACCAAAACAUUUAAGUAAUAGACCAGUCAUAGGCUACUGUAAAGAUAGGCUAGAUGAAGCAUGUAGGCCUUCUUUCUAAUGACUUCAGGGGGUCAAAGGCUAUGACCCUUAGGUUGGGUGCAAGCAAAGAUGACCAAUUAUAUUGACAAGAUAGUCGAGUGGCCUCUAUAACAAUGGAAAUGCAUGUCCUGGAUGGCAGGCGGGAGGGGGUGAGAUCAGGUACGACCAUUCUAGCCAAAGACAGGCCAGAUGCAUGUGUGAACAACAGGCACAACUCCAAUAUAAAGUAGAUUAUUUUCAAAAGUUGCUGAAAUGCCACGAGUGUCCGCUUAUAUCAGUGCAUUCCGAACAACCUAACCAUUCCAAAACUUCUAUUCGAUCAAAUAAGCAUCACUCAGCAAGUUAGAGAUUACAUUUUUUGUUGACUGAAUUUGAUACAAAUAUUCUUCACUUCGUGGUCUUAUUUUUGUGAUCAAAUUUUGGGUGGAGUAAACCCUCGCUUUGCCUCUUCCUCUCUGGUGAAAGAGUUGCAAUAGGUCACCUUCACUAUAGAUAAGAUGUGACCAACGAGAUGGCUAAAGGUGAGGCAUGUACAUGACUUUCUGAUGUCUUUCAGAGGUCAAAAGUGAUGACCUCACCCUCAUAUAUAUUAGACUCACAGCCUCUUGAGGACCCUAUCAAUAAUGCUGAUGACAUGCAGGAUGAAGUCAGGUAAGUAAUUUACACAAAUUAUCCAUUCACACAUAGGUCAAAUGUCUAUACAUUAUGGCUAGGUCCCAGUGAUCAUAGAGAGAUUAUUUUCCUCUGCACAGAUAUGAAAAAGAUCAGCCUGAUACUGGGAGCCUGGCCCAGUUCUUUGCUGAUCAAGAAAUAGCCAGCCCAACUCAGUCAAUAGCGGCUGAACCGGAGGCAGAGAUGCAGGAGGCUGAUCUGAAGUCAGCUGAACCAACCCAGUCACUCGAGGCUGAAAUAGAGAGUGGGAUGCAGGCUGAUCUAGAGACACCCGGCCCAUCCCAUGUACAGGAGCCACACCAGACUUCUCUACUCAACUCUGGAGACCUGAAACUGGAGGAUACUGAUGUGACCUUCACCACCAUGCCCACGGCCCCCCAGGCUGCAACGUCCCAGAACAGCCUUGUCAGGCUGCAAAGAAGCUCCCCAGACCUCUCCACCUUUGUGCAGGACAUGACUGACAACCACUGGAAUCUGUUGAGUGAGAAUAUGCGUGCCAAGUUAACUAGAGAUGAGUUUACUGCCAAGUGCAUGGACAUUGUCACAUGGGUGAAGAAGAUCAAAUCGACAGUUGUGGUUCCCGCCCUUGACCUCACCAUGCAGAUAGAGCUGACUGAGUUGCCAGGCUCUCCUGGAUCAGGAAGUGAGGAGGCAGUAACUUCUCUCUCCCGCACUGUGAGAUUAAGUUGUACUCAAGGCCCCAGCAGGAACACCAGUUCUAAAACUUCCUGGAGCACACCGACACCCACACCUUUCCCCUCCAGUCACAGGUCCAUGACCUCUUUGCUGAGUGAAGAGGAUGAUAAAGACUUGAUCCCUGGAGAGGUCACAUAUCGCUCAACACCUGAGGGGGGCAAUAGAGAGAUGAGGGACAGACCCUGCUCAGAGCCACUCAGGUCUGUGUUUGGCCUGUCUCAGAGCUGUAUUUUCAAUCAAAUGGUCCACAGUGGAGCAUGCAGGUCGCUAAGUGAGAUUGUACUGCCAUCCAGCCGGAGUAGGCAGAGGAAGCUCAUGCCCAUCAUCGUCUCCACAGACACCAGAUUGGUAAUGGAAAUUGUGGAGAUGGUGAUGAAAGUCAUCAACUCCAGGCUAGCUCAGCUAAUGCUAAAUGUGGGUUGUAGUCAGGGAACUGAAGGUCAUGGCAGCAACUCAGCAAGCAUUCAGUUUGCUCAAGAAAUGCUGAGCAUGGCAACUGCAUCAAUGUAUGCCCACGCAAUGGAGCAUAUUGCGCACGGCUGCAAGUCCAGCAGUCGCCAGUCCAACAAGUCUCCACUUGAAUUAGCGGGGGAGAUGGAAGCCAUAUUGGGUCCUCUGGCUGGACAGGUAAUAGUCACCGUCAUCAAUAGUAUCCUCAGGACUAAAGACAACGGAAGAACUGAGCAGGAACGGACCACCCCUUUGAGUUACUUCCUUACUGCAGUUUCUGCUGAAAUUCAAAGCAUGGUAGUUCAAAGAUCUGCAAGUAGACAGUCCUCCAGGCAGUCCAUCAGUGACCACUUGAUGAAUAUCUCCAAGGGCAAGAUCGUGAAAGCCGUUCAAAUUAAAAUGUCACAACUCUAUGGCGAGUCUACCAAUGAAAGCUGCAUAUCAGCAACUCCAACAAUCCAGAGCCUGUCCAAGUGCUCAUCCAAAGAAUCCCUUUGUGAUUGGACUCUCACCUCAGAUGACGUGCAUCCAGCUAAGUUCCUGUCUAGCAACAGAAUUACAGCGUUGUCGACUGAUGUUGUGGAUGUUGUGUUUGGUGAUGUUUUUUAUAAUCUUGGACUUUCGGACAGCCAAACACAUUUAAGGCCACAGUGCACCGGCUCCAGCUCAUCAAUAGACAUCAGCGGUGUUGCUGGGGAGAUGGUCAGACAAGUCUCUGUAAAACUCCAGUCCUUUGCGUCCGAGAGCAGUCUGGAGGCCAUGUCCAUGACUCACGACUCACCAUCUUUGUCCAUCUCAGACUCUGACUUGAAGUUCUUGUGCUCUCACUCAGCGGUUGCUGUAGCAACUGCCUGCCAAGCAAUUAAAACUGAGCUUGAGAUUGAGAUGAGUCUCAACCCAGCCACAGAGGCCGGCUCCCAGGGUAACCUUGCUGCCAGAGACCUGGUAUCUUCUCUGUCACAGAGUCUUGAGGAUAUAGAUGUUUCUCAUAUCAUUCAGGGCCUUAAGGAGGCAGAUGUGACAUUUGCCAAUCUGAACAAAACCCCUUCGACCGACACUAAUAGAUUAGAGGAAAUCUUAUCUGCCCAUAUUUCCCCUGAAAGUAUUGCAGCGGCAUCGGUUGAUCUUUUUGAUGGCGUAUUAGGAGACUUGCAUGAGGCAUUUGAGGCAAAUAAGGUCUCAGCAGCCACAAAAUCUGGUCGCAAAAAGUUCUGGGUUGAAGUACAUACAAGUUCACAAAACCUGUACACCAAUGCGCUGGACAAACUAAAUAAGUGGUUCAGUUUACACCAUCUCACUAAUGAAAAAGAUGUUCCUCUGAAUACCAAGCUCUCUGCAACUGGACCACUCCUAACUGAGGCCUGUGUGGAGGUAUCUCCUGUGCAAAAGACCAGUAUUAACAGCUCUGGUAUGUCCUUCAGGUCUCUGAGUGAUAUCUCAGACAACCAGCUAACCCUCAACACAUGCACUAAAGAGGUAAUCAAACAGGUGGCCUCAGUUCUGAAGUUUGAGGCUUCUAAGGAAGACUGUUCUUCUUCCGUUGGAGGGAGGACAUUAAAUGUGUUCUUGGAGUUCAGCCAGAAGUUGGAUGCUCUCAUCUCAAAGUUGGAGGACCUCCCCAUUUCAGGUGAGAUUUCCUCGCUCACACAGCCACAAAGUGCAGUCAGCAGCAGCAGAACCUCUAAUAUUUCCAUCAGGAGUAUCCUAAGUGUGGAGUUCUACACAAAGGCCAACCAGAUCGUGAGUGAGGCUAUCCUUGGAGCUGCAAUUGUUUUCUAUGCUCGCAAAGCCAACCAUUUGGAGCUGAAUAUGCCUGCUACCUAUUCACAACAUCUGUUUGCAGCCACCUCAGACAUUGUGAACAUUAUUGUGGAAGACCUAGAGAGAGAGACCAUGGAUACAGAGUCCCACCUCAUACCUAAAAUAGUUUUUGACAAGUUCCUGGAUGCGGCUCACAACAUCUACUACCAAGUGCGGGAUAGGCUGAAGGUCUUCUUCUCCAUGUCCUCAGUGCCUGCCUCCAAAACCAAAGAUGUGGUGGAUUCCAUGCCUGUGGAGAAACAUGGAUACUUUGAGGCCUCUGACACUGCUCAUGACCCGGAGCGACCUCAAUCUGUCAGGAGUGAGAAGUUGUUGACAAAAGACAGUUUAGCCAAGAUAGAAAGGUCUAAAUCCCUUGCGUCUCGGGGUGGCACAUCAACAGAAAAUCAAGACUUUGACACCUUCACAUUGACACCCACCAAGAGCAUGUCAGUGUUGAGUGAUCACAGUUUGAGAGGAGAUUUUUCUCUCUUGAGUGAAAGUUGCCAACCACUUUUGGCUCUCCAAGACUCAACAGUGGCAGUCACUAAGCAUAGCUUCACCAAGUCUGCUAAGACCACCCUCAGCCAGAUCCUAAAUGUGAUCAAGUGCAGAGUGGCUGCCUCAGAUAAUUCAUCUGUUGGACAGAAGACAACUGACAUGUUGGACUCUCUUCUUGAGAGCCUUGACCAGUUGACUGCAGAUGAGAUAAAGGGGACAGCGUCCCACAGCUUGAUCACAGUAGAUGUGCCAGAGUCACUAUCUAAGCAAUCCUUGACAAAAUACUUUUCUACUCAUGAGAGGAACCAGGAUUCUUCCCCUGCAAAGCUUGUGUGUCAACCAUCAUGCCUGAUACCAACAUCCAUGUCUGACACCAACAUUAUAGUGCAAACUAUAAUGGAAACGCUGGUGAAGGACGAAUCAAAGAAGACUUCAGCAGAGGAAAACCUUGAGAGGCUCGUCUCCAUUGAAACCAUUCAAGGUGUGUCAGACGACCUCAUCACAAAGGUCCAUGGUCUCAUUCAGGAGAUCACAAUAAGCCGGCAACUUCAAUCCAUGGCUGGCCACAGGAGCUUCUCUGAACCGGCAUUGCCAAAGCCAGCCCUAAAAAAGCUGUCAAGGAAUGAUGCCUCUGAGCUCGCCUACAGCUUUGCCGAAAAUUCUGUUAGGACUCUCCUGGGGCAGUGCUUAGAUGUGUCGUCCUUUUCCACUGGAGUAAGGCAGACGAUGGAUCAGGUCACUAAGAUAAUGACUAACACAGUGAUGGACACCCUGACUGAUGAGUCCAAGCCCACAGUGAAGUCAGAGGAUGAAUUAGUUUCCAGGUUAGUCCAACCAGAUGAAUUCCCCACGAGGAGCCUUAACCCAUCUGAUGGCAACGCUGAUGUGAUGCCUCGCUCUGCUGGAGGUGAAAAGAAUAGCAAGAAGUGGCGUUUCCUUUUCAAAAUGCCUAGCAUCCCGAAGAUCAGGAUCAAGGUGUUCAAGAGAAAAGGACAAUCCAAGAAGCACCCUGAACUGGAAGCGCUGCCAACAAAACGUUUCAGUGAUAUGUCACUGAAGGUUCCUUCCGCCUUCCCACCCAUGGAGGACCUGAUACCUGCACCUACUGCACAGAAUCCCCAAUCCCGUAAACGCCCCUUUGUGGUUAGGGUGUUUCGGGCCCUCUCUCGAGCCAUCACCAGUGCCUUCAGAGGAGCUUCAGGGAAGAAGCACUAGAUAAGUGCUUGAUUUUAAUAAACAUUACUGCA
rnacentral:lncRNA from 1 species